CCCACAUGUGUCGUAUUCUUUGAUAUGAGUAAAGCUUUCGAUUUCGUUUCGCACAGCAUCCUCUUAAACAAGUUAGAGCAAAAUGGAAUCAGAGAACCAGCACUUAGCUGGAUAGAAUCAUACCUAAAAAAUCGCAAGCAAUGUGUGGAAAUAAAUUCUAUUAACAAUAGUGGUACUAUAAUUCCCCAACGUUCUGACUUUAAACUUAACAGAUUUGGUGUUCCGCAAGGAAGCGUCCUUGGACCAUUACUAUUUUUGACCUACAUUAAUGACCUACCUUGUGUGACUAAAAAUGAUUGCUAUUUAUUUGCGGAUGACAUAUCUAUAGUCGUGACAGGUAAUAAUAAUGCUGAAAUUAAUAAAUAUGAAAAAGACAUCAAUGAUGAAAUAAAUACUAUCGUGAACUGGCUAAACGAUAAUAACCUACAAGUAAAUAUCAACAAGACUUCCUACAUGCAAUUCAGUAUAAGUAACAGAUCGAAUAACUUCAGUCUUAAUAUAAAAUAUAAUGAUUAUCAAAUUGAAGAAGCACUGCAUACUAAGUUCCUAGGAUUACUACUUGAUAAAAAUCUUAAGUGGAAGGAACAUGUUGACAUGGUAUGCAAAAAGAUUAAUCGAUAUGUGUACGUGCUUUAUAGAUUGCGUAAAACGGCCUUACCAAAUACGGUUCUUGCAGCUUAUCAUGGAUACGUUGCGUCCGUCCUCCGAUACGGAUUGAUAUUGUGGGGAAACUCUAGUGAAGCUAAUAGGGCGUUUAUAGCACAAAAGAGGUGUGUAAGGGCUAUGACAGGAGCCUUCUACUUGGACUCCUGUCGACCAUUAUUUCAACAAUUACACAUUCUCCCACUCCCGUCUAUGUAUAUAUUUGAUAUUUGUGUAUUUCAAAUAUAUAAAUAAAC